AAAAUAACAGGUAAGCAUUUUGAACCUCUUUAUUCCUAUUUAAAGCACUUUUGAAUGUUUUGUGUUUUAUUGUCAACUUUAUCUGAGGAUUAACCAACUCAGUUAUCCUAAUACGUGUAACAUGGCAAGCGUGAAGCUAACGCGCCAUUACAUCAAAGUUAUCAACGGCAAGUGUUAAAUAUGCAGUGUUAUACACAACAGUUUGUCACUGAUAAAUUAAUACGUUUUUUUUUUUUUUUUGUCGUUUCUCACUGCCGGACACAAACGAGUCCAGCAAAUUUUAUUUAGACGUCUGACAGACCAUCUUCCUCAUCUCUAACCAUCACUCACCCCACAGAUCUGAAGCAAGUCUUUUCAGAGCAAAGGCAGCGAGGGGUGGUGUGAUGUCACUGGCAAGAGGAAGGCUGCAGUACUAAUAUGAGCCUAAAAUGAAAAAAGGGAGCCUGAUCAAGUGCUGAAGGCAGCUGUCACCAUCUUUGCUGUUAAGGAGGAAGAGGGAACACUGUCUUUAAACCCAUUGGAUGUUUUGAUUGCAUCUGAAGAUGAUGUCUGCUUAUAAUGUUAAAUAUAAUUAUUAUUAUUAUUAAUUAUAUUUAACAUUUAAAUGGAUUUUAAACAUUUCCUUUGUGAGGUGUUUACUUUUUUUGGUGAAAAGUUUAAGAUAGCUUAAAUGUUAUAUUUUUGACUAAAC